UACAGAGGGGGCAAGCGUUGUUCGGAAUUACUGGGCGUAAAGGGCGCGUAGGCGGCCUGUUAAGUCGAACGUGAAAUCCCUGGGCUCAACCCAGGAACUGCGUCCGAUACUGGUUGGCUUGAAUCCGGGAGAGGGAUGUGGAAUUCCUGGUGUAGCGGUGAAAUGCGCAGAUAUCAGGAGGAACACCGAUGGCGAAGGCAGGUCUCUGGGCAUUAACUGACGCUGAGGAGCGAAAGCAUGGGGAGCGAACAGG
rnacentral:rRNA from 1 species